UACGAAGAGGGCUAGCGUUGCUCGGAAUCACUGGGCGUAAAGCGCACGUAGGCGGCUUGUUAAGUCAGGGGUGAAAUCCUGGAGCUCAACUCCAGAACUGCCUUUGAUACUGGCGAGCUUGAGUCCGGGAGAGGUGAGUGGAACUGCGAGUGUAGAGGUGAAAUUCGUAGAUAUUCGCAAGAACACCAGUGGCGAAGGCGGCUCACUGGCCCGGUACUGACGCUGAGGUGCGAAAGCGUGGGGAGCAAACAGG
rnacentral:rRNA from 1 species